rnacentral:misc_RNA from 1 species
GAUGAAGAACGUAGCGAAAUGCGAUAAGUAAUGUGAAUUGCAGAAUUCAGUGAAUCAUCGAAUCUUUGAACGCACCUUGCGCUCCUUGGCAUUCCGAGGAGCAUGCCUGUUUGAGUGUCAUUAAAUUCUCAAGACCUGUCUGCUUUUUUGAUAGGUAUUGGAUUUUGGGGGUUGCAGGCUGUUUCAAAUAAAUAGCCUUGCUCUCCUUGAAUGUAUUAGUGGAGAAAAGCCAUUGAACUCCAUUGGUGUGAUAAAACCUAUAAAUGCCAGGAGCAAUAUCACUACUUCUCUCUGCUGUCUAACUGUGACUGUCUGUAUUAAUUAGUAUGGAUGGGGACAACUUGACCAACUUGACCUCAAAUCAGGUAGGACUACCCGCUGAACUUAAGCAUAUCAAUAAGCGGAGGA